GGACGAACGCUGGCGGCGUGCUUAACACAUGCAAGUCGUGCGAGAAAAUUCCCUUCGGGGGAUGAGUACAGCGGCGCACGGGUGAGUAACGCGUAAGUUAUCUGCCCCUUGGUCUGGGCAUAACUCCGGGAAACCGGGGCUAAUAGCAGAUUAUAUCGUAAGAUCAAAGCCUUCGGGCGCCAAGGGAUGAGCUUGCGUCCCAUUAGCUAGUUGGCGGGGUAAUGGCCCACCAAGGCACGAUGGGUAGCUGGUCUGAGAGGAUGAUCAGCCACAUUGGGACUGAGACACGG
rnacentral:rRNA from 1 species